UACGUAGGGUGCAAGCGUUGUCCGGAAUUACUGGGUGUAAAGCGCGUGUAGGCGGGAGGCCAAGUCUGCUGUGAAAUCGCCCGGCUCAACUGGGCGGGGUCGGUGGAAACUGGUCACCUGGAGGACGGUAGAGGCGAGUGGAAUUCCCGGUGUAGUGGUGAAAUGCGCAGAUAUCGGGAAGAACACCUAUGGCGAAGGCAGCCAUCUGGACCGACACUGACGCUGAGGCGCGAAAGCGUGGGGAGCAAACAGG
rnacentral:rRNA from 1 species